GCAUUCGCAAAGGCACUGGUUUUAAUGACUAAUAAAUCACGAACAAACUGCAGUUGGCAGUCAUGUGAUUGCAGCGGAAUUAUAAUGUACUUUCUUUUAGGGGUUUCCAAAUCCAAGUUUUAUUGCGAUAACCGUGUAACGCACUUCGGUAAAUGGGCAACUAUAUAUGUAUAUGUUUAUGUUUAAAAGUAAAAACAAAAAGUAGUAAAGCAACUAUCACGGUCUUAAAUUCCCCAGACCUUCUUUGUGUUUUAAUGCUUUUAUUACCGUUCUUCGUUAAUCACAUAAGUUAGCGUUCAAUACGUGUACUUUCUUUGAGGGUCCUAUAAAAAUAAUCAAGAUAAGACGUUCUUCGUUCAACUUUAAUGUCACAUAAGAACUGGUCUAACAGUACAGAGAUUUAGCUGCCCUCAAAGACUGAUAUCUAUAGCGCGAAGAGACAUUGUUGCAUAAUACACGAAAUGGGGAGUCCAUGGAACCAAUUCGGAACUCAUAAUGCCAAGGCACGCGAGCCGGCUCAACGAACGGGGUCGUUUUGAAUUGAGUUCCGAGCGGUUAGGAAAUUAAAAAUAAUAAGUUAAUUGCCUGAUUAGAAUAAUUUUCCGCUUCAUGUAUGUAAGGCUCGGUGCUUUUGUGGCUGAGUGUCAUAAACGAUAUCUAAAAGGCAAAAGCUCUCGGGGAAUGGUUGUGGGGUUUCGCUGGUUUUGUGCGGAUGGUUCUGACUAUCUCGUAAAUUAGUCUUGUGACAAACGAUGACAGUGCGGAUUGGCUUGUUGCUCUGUGCAAACAAUCCCACCCACAACCACACACCCUUCCCGCAAGAUCGAUUAAACUUUGACAAAGUUGCGAUUAUAUUGACAAACUGGCGGCCUUGGCGUUGACAGUCGGUGACGUCACUGGUACUGGCUGGCACAAAGAAAUAGAACAGAGAAAACCUUUCGUUUUCAGGGUCAUACGGCGUACCAAAGUCGAAAAACAGCCCAACUGACCCGCAAGCCAAUGUCAAUGAUGCACUAAAUCUGUGCCAGAAAUUCCUUGCCUACAUCUGACUUUGUAUAUAUCUGACUAUACAUAUAUGCAGCUAUAUGUGUACAAACAUAUGUAUGCAUAUAUGUAUGUAUGUUGGUUCGAUACAUUCAAUUUCACUUUGCCGCAGAGCGAGUGAAAACUAAAAGCAAAACAAACCGACAACAGACAGUAUAUUUACGACCUAUACUGUAUGCGAAAAUUCUGUAUAUAUGUAUAUUUAAAUAAUAGAUAAAAAAAACUAGGGGCGAACAAAAAGAAUCGCUUGCUUAGUUUCAUUGACAAUUCUUUUCUGAUAACUCUUCAAAAAUAUUCCUAUAAAAAGAACUUGAAAAUAAUCAAUAAAAAUUAACCAAGAAUAUGUUUAAAUUUCCAAAGUUUGGAAGCUAAAGCUUUACUGAUUUGUGAUCCUGGCCUAUAUUUUCCAUUAUAGCAUUCCAACUUACCAAUGACGGAAACGCACUUCUCGUUCACAACACCACUGGGCAGGAGAUGGAAGUCGAACUCCGUGCCAUUAGCCACCACAGUGUGUCCAGCGUUAUUGCCGC